rnacentral:rRNA from 1 species
UACGUAGGGACCAAGCGUUGUUCGGAUUUACUGGGCGUAAAGGGCGCGUAGGCGGCAAUUCAAGUCAUCUGUGAAAUCUCCGGGCUUAACUCGGAACGGUCAGAUGAUACUGCUUUGCUAGAGUGCGGAAGGGGCAAUCGGAAUUCUUGGUGUAGCGGUGAAAUGCGUAGAUAUCAAGAGGAACACCUGAGGUGAAGACGGGUUGCUGGGCCGACACUGACGCUGAUAGCGCGAAACCAGGGGAGCAAACGGG